CACAAUCAACAGAUUAACUUUACGAAGUGCUAUUCAAUCACUGAAGAAACACGUUGAAGAACCUGGUCCUCAGUACAGAAUCCAGCUAAGAGUUUUGGCGUUGAAUUUUAGAGUUGUUCAUUGUGUUUGAACUAUUGAUGUAAUAUUAGUUUUAGUGUGUUAUAAACUGAACUAGGAGCUAGUCUUCGAGUUGGGGACACUCAGAAAUUUUGGGAUCCCAUAUCUUGGGAGGUGUGUGUAGUUAGGAAUUAGAGUUUAUAAUUCCUAGUUGUUGAGUUAUAGGGAUUAGAGUUUAUAAUUCCUAUUUGUUGGUUACAAGAGUUUUGUAAUCAGUCGUUGUUGAGGCUCAGAGUUAUUUACUGAAGUUGGGGUUAAAUCCUGUAGAGGUGCAGGUCGUGGUUUUUUACACCUUUUGAGCCGGGUGUUUUCCACGUAAAAAUCCACUGUGUUCUUUACUUUCUGUUUUACUACUUCCGUGGAACAUGUCAGGCAACCCAUUCCAUCAAUAGGCAACAGUUAGGCGAAAAUAAGAUAAUCAAUAGGGCACAAAUUCUUAACAGUAUCUUCACUUUUAUUUACAAAGAAAUAGAAAAAAAAAAAUUAUAUAUGUGUGUGUGUCGCGCCUAUACAAAUUGUAUCUUUGCUUUAUUUACUUCAAAGCCUUGGGACACAUUCUUAUCAUAGAGUCGGU
rnacentral:lncRNA from 1 species